rnacentral:rRNA from 1 species
UACGUAGGUGGCGAGCGUUGUCCGGAUUUACUGGGCGUAAAGGGCUUGUAGGCGGUCCGCUAAGUCUGGUGUGAAAUCUCCCGGCUCAACUGGGAGGGGUCAUCGGAUACUGGCGGACUUGAGGGGGGUAGAGGAAAGCAGAAUUCCUGGUGUAGCGGUGAAAUGCGUAGAUAUCAGGAGGAAUACCAGUGGCGAAGGCGGCUUUCUGGGCCUACCCUGACGCUGAGGAGCGAAAGCGUGGGGAGCAAACCGG